CAUCUUCAAAUUUUUCUCACAGGAUAUGAAGCUCCGAACUUGAGGAACCUCGCUGACAAGAUUGCAGCUGCCGGGUUUUUAGUGGUUGUUCCCGACUUCUUGAAAGGAGAUCCUUAUGAACCCGAGAACCAGGACCGGCCUCUUCAUGUCUGGUUGAAAGAUCACGAACCAGACAAAGGCUUUGAGGACUCAAAGCCAUUAAUUGAAGCCUUAAAGAGCAAAGGCAUAACUGCAGUUGGGGCUGCAGGUGCCUGUUUCGGAGGUGAGUUUGUUUGUUCUUCU